rnacentral:ncRNA from 1 species
UAUAGGUUUGGUCCCAGCCUUCCUAUUAACUCUUAAUAGACUUACACAUGCAAGCAUCCGCACCCCGGUGAAAAUGCCCUCCAAGUUAAUAAGACUAAGAGGAGCUGGUAUCAAGCACACAUCCGUAGCUCACGACACCUUGCACAGCCACACCCCCACGGGAGACAGCAGUGAUAAAAAUUAAGCCAUAAACGAAAGUUUGACUAAGCCAUAUUAAUUAGGGUUGGUAAAUUUCGUGCCAGCCACCGCGGUCAUACGAUUAACCCAAGUUAAUAGGCAUACGGCGUAAAGUGUGUUAAAGCACUAUACUAAANAAAGUUAAAUUCCAAUUAAGCUGUAAAAAGCCAUAAUUGUAACAAAAAUAUAUAACGAAAGUAACUUUACAACCGCUGAAACACGAUAGCUAGGACCCAAACUGGGAUUAGAUACCCCACUAUGCCUAGCCUUAAACACAAAUAGUUAUGCAAACAAAACUAUUCGCCAGAGUACUACCGGCAAUAGCUUAAAACUCAAAGGACUUGGCGGUGCUUUAUACCCUUCUAGAGGAGCCUGUUCUAUAAUCGAUAAACCCCGAUAAACCUCACCAUUCCUUGCUAAUACAGUCUAUAUACCGCCAUCUUCAGCGAACCCUAAAAAGGUACAAAAGUAAGCACAAUCAUAAUACAUAAAGACGUUAGGUCAAGGUGUAACCUAUGGAACGGAAAGAAAUGGGCUACAUUUUCUAAUCUAAGAAAAUCCAACACGAAAGUUAUUAUGAAAUUAAUAACCAAAGGAGGAUUUAGCAGUAAACUAAGAAUAGAGUGCUUAGUUGAACUAGGCCAUGAAGCACGCACACACCGCCCGUCACCCUCCUCAAGUAGGCACAGUACACUCAAAUUUAUUUGCACGUAUUAAUCAUAUGAGAGGAGACAAGUCGUAACAAGGUAAGCAUACUGGAAAGURUGCUUGGAUAAANNN